UUGGGAAAUUUCUAUUGGUCUGAAUUUUUCUUUACUAGAAAUUAUGAAAAAUUUGAUUUUCAACCUUGAAAAUGGGGUCGACUUAUACACGGAUAAAUACGGUAAUUAACUCCUCCACCAUCAGUAAUUGCAUUAAAGAUUCUGUGUUAGAAAUCACAGCACCAUAACCCAAAAUCUAAUGUUGUCCUCAGCACGAUUUCAUUUUUUGAGCAAGGCAAAGGUAAAAAUCAAUCAAGGGCCACACAGACAUCACAUAUGUCAGAUAUGUAAAAACUACUCUAUUCAUUAAUUCAAUGUCAUUACUCUCCCCCAUAGUAGCUAUAAUUUUUAGCCAACUUGGGAAAUAGCAACCAAAAAUGGACCCUUUGGACAUCCAAACUUUUAAAUUUCAAGGGGAAGGUUCCCCAGACUUUGCCAUCCAAGUGAGAAUAAAUGGCUGCCACACUGUCAUUUUGGUCCCCCCUACCUGCUCACACAUUGUCCCUCCUUUCCACAAUCCUACCAAAGCCUCCAUAUGGGUAGUAAUAAAAACACUGAAGUGAAGAGUGCUAUCUCAGCAAGAGAUGAUAAUCAUGCGCACUUUUAAGUGAGUCCUAGCAGAUGUUUGGCAAGGUAUUGCACUCUUGCUCCAAAUCUAGUUCACAUAGACUUGAGAAAAAAGAAUCGGAUGUAGCAGUCAUUCAGGUUGGUCAAUUGCUCCAAGCUCUAAUUUGAUAGCACUGCUCAUUUGGUUAUCUUUCUUGCCAAUACUCUUUCCGGUUAUUUGGGUUUUCUUGGAAACUCUUGCCAUUGAGGAGAAGCAUGAUAUGCGUUUACAAAUUAAAAGCAAAGAAAAGUGAAAAAAAAAAUAGGAGAGUAACUGGAUGGUAUCAAAGACAGUGGUAUAAUUUUUUUGCAGGGAGGUAGGUUUCCAUUUUUUAAUUGAGUUUUAGCCUAAGUAUGUCUAAGUUUCUACACUUGUUGUUUAGUCUUGUGAUUUCUUACUUUAAGAAGUUGUUUGAAUUUGUUUUUUUAUUACAGCCAAUUGAGUCUGUAAAUGGAAAGCAAACACACAAUAAUGAUGGAUUGUUGAUCAAUUUUUGCUGAGUUGACUACCAUGGCUCAAGAUGGAGGACCACGUGAGCAUUUGAUUAACAUGGACUGGCUGGAACAAGAAAUAGUUGUGGAAGAGCAGCUAGAAAGAGGAAGAGAAGAACAAAGAAAAAGGGAGGAGAAAACGAAAAGAGAGAAACAAAGAAGGGGAGAAGAUCAUUUUUCCGACACAUACCUAUACUUAAGUUAUCCCUUUUAAAAUUUUAAACCUAUAUGAUAUCCAUGUCACUCAGUAAUUUCUCUUUUUUUCGAAUAUGUGAAAUCAUGAUCUUUUGGAAAACUACUCUAUCAGGGAUAUAAAUUUAAUGUAUAUUGUUUCUUUUUUUAUUUUUAAGUGAGCUUGAUGAUCUUGUUUAUAAUAGAACAGCCACAUUAGUACGUCAAUGUCAUCGGAAGACAUUAAAUAUUUGGAAGAGAAAUUUAAAA